GGCGGGACACGUGGUAUCCUGUCUGAAUAUGGGGGGACCAUCCUCCAAGGCUAAAUACUCCUGACUGACCGAUAGUGAACCAGUACCGUGAGGGAAAGGCGAAAAGAACCCCGGCGAGGGGAGUGAAAAAGAACCUGAAACCGUGUACGUACAAGCAGUGGGAGCACCCUUUGGGGUGUGACUGCGUACCUUUUGUAUAAUGGGUCAGCGACUUAUAUUCUGUAGCAAGGUUAACCGUAUAGGGGAGCCGUAGGGAAACCGAGUCUUAACCGGGCGUUAAGUUGCAGGGUAUAGACCCGAAACCCGGUGAUCUAGCCAUGGGCAGGUUGAAGGUUGGGUAACACUAACUGGAGGACCGAACCGACUAAUGUUGAAAAAUUAGCGGAUGACCUGUGGCUGGGGGUGAAAGGCCAAUCAAACCGGGAGAUAGCUGGUUCUCCCCGAAAGCUAUUUAGGUAGCGCCUCGUGAACUCAUCUCCGGGGGUAGAGCACUGUUUCGGCUAGGGGGCCAUCCCGGCUUACCAACCCGAUGCAAACUGCGAAUACCGGAGAAUGUUAUCACGGGAGACACACGGCGGGUGCUAACGUCCGUCGUGAAGAGGGAAACAACCCAGACCGCCAGCUAAGGUCCCAAAGUCAUGGUUAAGUGGGAAACGAUGUGGGAAGGCCCAGACAGCCAGGAUGUUGGCUUAGAAGCAGCCAUCAUUUAAAGAAAGCGUAAUAGCUCACUGGUCGAGUCGGCCUGCGCGGAAGAUGUAACGGGGCUAAACCAUGCACCGAAGCUGCGGCAGCGAACGUAUCACUUAAAGCGAUUCAGCGGGUUACGA
rnacentral:rRNA from 1 species